UACGUAGGGUGCGAGCGUUGUCCGGAAUUACUGGGCGUAAAGAGCUCGUAGGUGGUUUGUCGCGUUGUUCGUGAAAACUCACAGCUUAACUGUGGGCGUGCGGGCGAUACGGGCAGACUGGAGUACUGCAGGGGAGACUGGAAUUCCUGGUGUAGCGGUGGAAUGCGCAGAUAUCAGGAGGAACACCGGUGGCGAAGGCGGCAUCCUGGACCGAUACUGACGCUGAGGAGCGAAAGCCAGGGGAGCAAACGGG
rnacentral:rRNA from 1 species